rnacentral:rRNA from 1 species
ACGGGUGAGUAACACGUGGGUAACCUGCCCAUCAGAAGGGGAUAACACUUGGAAACAGGUGCUAAUACCGUAUAACACUAUUUUCCGCAUGGAAGAAAGUUGAAAGGCGCUUUUGCGUCACUGAUGGAUGGACCCGCGGUGCAUUAGCUAGUUGGUGAGGUAACGGCUCACCAAGGCAACGAUGCAUAGCCGACCUGAGAGGGUGAUCGGCCACACUGGGACUGAGACACGGCCCAGACUCCUACGGGAGGCAGCAGUAGGGAAUCUUCGGCAAUGGACGAAAGUCUGACCGAGCAACGCCGCGUGAGUGAAGAAGGUUUUCGGAUCGUAAAACUCUGUUGUUAGAGAAGAACAAGGAUGAGAGUAGAACGUUCAUCCCUUGACGGUAUCUAACCAGAAAGCCACGGCUAACUACGUGCCAGCAGCCGCGGUAAUACGUAGGUGGCAAGCGUUGUCCGGAUUUAUUGGGCGUAAAGCGAGCGCAGGCGGUUUCUUAAGUCUGAUGUGAAAGCCCCCGGCUCAACCGGGGAGGGUCAUUGGAAACUGGGAGACUUGAGUGCAGAAGAGGAGA